rnacentral:rRNA from 1 species
CAGGUCAAGACAUGGGCGUGAUUGACAGGCUAAUGACUUUUCUCGAUUCCAUGGAUGGUGGUGCAUGGUCGCACUUAGUUGGUGCAGUGAUUUGUCAGGUUUAUUCCGGUAACGAACGAGACCUCGGCCUUGUAAAUAGCUAUGCUGCUUACAGGGACAUUGGCGGCUACGCCAAGGAAGCUCGAGGCAAUUGCAGAUCUGGAAUGCCCUUAGAUGUCCUGGGUCGCACGCGUGCUACAAUGACGCCACGAACGAGCUUGCGUGAUGAAAGUUACGCAUAAUCAGCAGUCGGCGUCUUAAGGGAUAGUCUCUUGUAACUGUGGGACUCCAACUAGGAAUGUCUCGUAAGCACAAGUCAACAUCUUGUGUUGAUUACGUCCCUGCUCUUUGUACACACCGCCCGUCGCUCCUACCGAUCGAGUGUUUAGGUGAAAUUUGGAUGGGACGUAAGGAAAGUCAAAUAAACCCUGAGCACUAGAGGAAGGAGAAGUCAACACUGC